GGAAAUUAUGGGUAAAAUAGCAUAAAUAUCAUCUAUAGGUUUUGAAAUUUGCAUAAAAACUCCGGAGGUCAGAAAAUUCUAUUUUUCCCACUUAUGUUUUAUUAAAUGUUGCGCAAAAUGCUCCAGCCAUUAAUCUUUAACGGAAGUUGAUGUUCAGCCUUUAUUAGAUGGUAGAUCCAACCCUCUCCUAAAUUGGGAUUGUGCACUACGAAGAAGGGCUAGCAAAAAUAUUGAAGUCUUGCCAUUAUAGUCUAUCAUUGAAGCUCGAAUUUCUAGUCCAAUAGGUGUCCACGAUGCAAGUGCGGGACAUUGACAGCCAUUCAUGUUGUUGGAUUGACGACGGAGACACAAAGUAAAUUGUUUUGCAAUUUCCCAAAGGAGCAUGUGAUUUUUUUUGUUGGUUUGAACCUAUUAGCACUCAGCCUGAGGAAUAGAGCAACUCUAGUGAUGAAGGAAAUAAGAUGGAGGUUAAAUCGGCUACAGUUGAUUAGAUGCUUUGAAUAAAGGUCGUCGCCAAAGAAGUAGGGCAAGAAAUUAAGGUUUUGCGUGUAAGAAUGAAAUACAUUGAGGGUAAAAUUGCUCAUAACUCCCAUGUAGUUUCAAAAUUAUGCAUAAAAUCUCCAUGUACUUUAAAAUUGCAUGGCACUCCCCUAUGCUUUCAAUAACGUUGCAUAAAAUCCGACCCCCUAUUAAGCUUCCGUUGUGUAAUGGGAAGAUGAUUUUCUAUCCAUAUUUUUUGCAUGGCGGGGGGUUUCAUGCAAUAUUUUUUAAAGUAUAAAGGGACGUCAUGCAAUUUAUUUAAGUAGAGUGAAAAUUUACACUGAGUUUUGAAACCACAAAAAGGUUUCAUGCAACGUUUUAUAAGUAUAAGGGGCUUCA